rnacentral:rRNA from 1 species
GAUGAACGCUGGCGGAGUGCCUAACACAUGCAAGUCGAGCGGCAGCGCGAGUAGUUUACUACUUGGCGGCGAGCGGCGGACGGCUGAGUAACGCGUGGGAACAUGCCCCAAAGUGAGGAAUAACUGCCCGAAAGGGUAGCUAAUGCCGCAUACGAUCUUCGGAUUAAAGGAUUUAUCCGCUUUGGGAGUGGCCUGCGUACGAUUAGAUAGUUGGUGAGGUAAUGGCUCACCAAGUCUACGAUCGUUAACUGGUUUGAGAGGAUGAUCAGUCAGACUGGAACUGAGACACGGUCCAGACUCCUACGGGAGGCAGCAGUGAGGAAUCUUCCACAAUGGACGAAAGUCUGAUGGAGCAACUCCGCGUGCAGGAUGAAGGCCUUCGGUCGUAAACUGCUUUAUGAGUGAAGAAUAUAGACGGUAAACUCAAUGAAUAAGGGUACGGCUAACUACGUGCCAGCAG